rnacentral:rRNA from 1 species
AACGAACGCUGGCGGAAGGUUGAACACAUGCAAGUCGAACGAGACCUUCGGGUCUAGUGGCGCACGGGUGCGUAACGCGUGGGAACCUGCCCUUAGGUUCGGAAUAACUCCCCGAAAGGGGUGCUAAUACCGGAUAAUGUCUUCGGACCAAAGAUUUAUCGCCUUUGGAUGGGCCCGCGUUGGAUUAGCUAGUUGGUAGGGUAAAAGCCUACCAAGGCGACGAUCCAUAGCUGGUCUGAGAGGAUGAUCAGCCACACUGGGACUGAGACACGGCCCAGACUCCUACGGGAGGCAGCAGUGGGGAAUAUUGGACAAUGGGCGAAAGCCUGAUCCAGCAAUGCCGCGUGAGUGAUGAAGGCCUUAGGGUUGUAAAGCUCUUUUACCCGGGAUGAUAAUGACAGUACCGGGAGAAUAAGCUCCGGCUAACUCCGUG